rnacentral:rRNA from 1 species
GACGAACGCUGGCGGCGUGCUUAACACAUGCAAGUCGAACGGAAAGGCCCCUUUGGGGGUACUCGCGUGGCGGACGGGUGAGUAACACGCGAGUAACCUGCCCUUGACUUCGGGUGAACUUCAGGCAACUGGGGCUAAUACAGGAUAGGAAUCCUUGCUGCAUGGUGGGGGUUGGAAAGCUUGUGCGGUUGGGGAUGGACUUGCGGCUUAUUAGCUUGUUGGUUGGGUAGUGGCUUACCUAGGCAUUGGCGGGUAGGCGGCCUGGGGGGGCGACCGGCCACAUUGGGGCUGGGGUUCGGGCCAGAAUCCUACGGGGGGGAAGAGUGGGGGAUAUUUCAAAAUUGGCGGGAGCCUGAUGCCGCAACGCCGGGUGCGGGAUGGCGGCCUUCGGGUUGUAAACCGGUUUCAGCAGGGGCGGAGCUUGUGGUGACGGUACCUGCAGAAGAAGCACCGGCUAACUACGUG